rnacentral:rRNA from 1 species
UACGGAGGGUGCGAGCGUUGUCCGGAAUCACUGGGCGUAAAGGGCGCGUAGGCGGCGUCGCGAGUCAACGGUGAAAGCUCAGGGCUCAACCCUGAGUCGGCCGUCGAUACUGCGAGGCUUGAGCACUGUAGAGGCAGGUGGAAUUCCGGGUGUAGCGGUGGAAUGCGUAGAGAUCCGGAAGAACACCGGUGGCGAAGGCGGCCUGCUGGGCAGUAGCUGACGCUGAGGCGCGACAGCGUGGGGAGCAAACAGG